GACGAACGCUGGCGGCGUGCCUAAUACAUGCAAGUCGAACGGUUUAGUUCCAAGAGGCUUGCCUUUUGGAACUAGACAGUGGCGGACGGGUGAGGAACACGUAGGCAACCUACCUGUCAAACCGGGAUAACCCCGGGAAACCGAAGCUAAACCCGGAUAAGCUCCUUUUUCGCAUGAAGGGGGAGUGAAAAGGUGCGACCUGAUGACAGAUGGGCCUGCGGCGCAUUAGCUAGUAGGUAGGGUAACGGCCUACCUAGGCGAUGAUGCGUAGCCGACCUGAGAGUGCGCGCGGCCACACUGGGACUGAGAUCCGGCCCAGACUCCUACGGGAGGCAGCAGUAGGGAAUCUUCGGCAGUGGGCGAAAGCCUGACCGAGCGACGCCGCGUGAGUGAGGAAGGCCUUCGGGUUGUAAAACUCUGUUGUUUGGGAAGAAGGGAAAGGGUAGGACCCUUUGGUGACGGUACCAAACGAGAAAGCCCCGGCUAACUACGUG
rnacentral:rRNA from 1 species